GACGAACGCUGGCGGCGUGCUUAACACAUCCUAGUCGAACGGAAAGGCCCUGCUUUUGUGGGGUGCUCGAGUGGCGAACGGGUGAGUAACACGUGAGUAACCUGCCCUUGACUUUGGGAUAACUUCAGGAAACUGGGGCUAAUACCGGAUAGGAGCUCCUGCUGCAUGGUGGGGGUUGGAAAGUUUCGGCGGUUGGGGAUGGACUCGCGGCUUAUCAGCUUGUUGGUGGGGUAGUGGCUUACCAAGGCUUUGACGGGUAGCCGGCCUGAGAGGGUGACCGGCCACAUUGGGACUGAGAUACGGCCCAGACUCCUACGGGAGGCAGCAGUGGGGAAUAUUGCACAAUGGGCGGAAGCCUGAUGCAGCAACGCCGCGUGCGGGAUGACGGCCUUCGGGUUGUAAACCGCUUUCGCCUGUGACGAAGCGUGAGUGACGGUAAUGGGUAAAGAAGCACCGGCUAACUACGUGCCAGCAACCGCGGUGAUACGUAGGGUGCGAGCGUUGUCCGGAUUUAUUGGGCGUAGAGGGCUCGUAGGUGGUUGAUCGCGUCGGAAGUGUAAUCUUGGGGCUUAACCCUGAGCGUGCUUUCGAUACGGGUUGACUUGAGGAAGGUAGGAGAGAAUGGAAUUCCUGGUGGAGCGGUGGAAUGCGCAGAUAUCAGGAGGAACACCAGUGGCGAAGGCGGUUCUCUGGGCCUUUCCUGACGCUGAGGAGCGAAAGCGUGGGGAGCGAACAGGCUUAGAUACCCUGGUAGUCCACGCUGUAAACGGUGGGUACUAGGUGUGGGGUCCAUUCCACGGGUUCCGUGCCGUAGCUAACGCUUUAAGUACCCCGCCUGGGGAGUACGGCCGCAAGGCUAAAACUCAAAGGAAUUGACGGGGCCCCGCACAAGCGGCGGAGCAUGCGGAUUAAUUCGAUGCAACGCGUAGAACCUUACCUGGGUUUGACAUGGAUCGGGAGUGCUCAGAGAUGGGUGUGCCUCUUUUGGGGUCGGUUCACAGGUGGUGCAUGCCUGUCGUCAGCUCGUGUCGUGAGAUGUUGGGUUAAGUCCCGCAACGAGCGCAACCCUUGUUCACUGUUGCCAGCACGUUAUGGUGGGGACUCAGUGGAGACCGCCGGGGUCAACUCGGAGGAAGGUGGGGAUGACGUCAAGUCCUCAUGCCCCUUAUGUCCAGGGCUUCACGCAUGCUACAAUGGCUGGUACAGAGAGUGGCGAGCCUGUGAGGGUGAGCGAAUCUCGGAAAGCCGGUCUCAGUUCGGAUUGGGGUCUGCAACUCGACCUCAUGAAGUCGGAGUCGCUAGUAAUCGCAGAUCAGCAACGCUGCGGUGAAUACGAUGCCGGGGCU
rnacentral:rRNA from 1 species